GACGAACCGUCCUAACGUUGUUCGGAAUCACUGGGCUUAAAGGGCGCGUAGGCGGACCACCAAGUCCGGGGUGAAAUCUUUCGGCUUAACCGGAAAAGUGCCUUGGAUACUGGUGGUCUCGAGUGAGGUAGGGGCAUGUGGAACUUCCGGUGGAGCGGUGAAAUGCGUAGAUAUCGGAAGGAACACCGGUGGCGAAAGCGGCGUGCUGGAUCCCUUCUGACGCUGAGGCGCGAAAGCCAGGGGAGCGAACGGG
rnacentral:rRNA from 1 species